UACGAAGGGGGGCUAGCGUUGCUCGGAAUCACUGGGCGUAAAGCGCACGUAGGCGGGUCUUUAAGUCAGGGGUGAAAUCCUGGAGCUCAACUCCAGAACUGCCUUUGAUACUGAGGAUCUCGAGUCCGGGAGAGGUGAGUGGAACUCCGAGUGUAGAGGUGAAAUUCGUAGAUAUUCGGAAGAACACCAGUGGCGAAGGCGGCUCUCUGGUACGUGACUGACGCUGAGACGCGAAAGCGUGGGGAGCAAACAGG
rnacentral:rRNA from 1 species